rnacentral:rRNA from 1 species
UGGCUCAGAACGAACGCUGGCGGCAGGCCUAACACAUGCAAGUCGAGCAACCCUUCGGGGUUAGCGGCGACGGGUUAGUAACGCGUGGGAAUAUACCCUUUGGUACGGAAUAGCCUCGGGAAACUGAGAGUAAUACCGUAUGUNCCCUUCGGGGGAAAGAUUUAUCGCCAAAGGAUUAGCCCGCGUUGGAUUAGAUAGUUGUGGGGUAAUGGCCUACCAAGUCUACGAUCCAUAGCUGGUUUGAGAGGAUGAUCAGCAACACUGGGACUGAGACACGGCCCAGACUCCUACGGGAGGCAGCAGUGGGGAAUCUUAGACAAUGGGCGCAAGCCUGAUCUAGCCAUGCCGCGUGGACGAUGAAGGCCUUAGGGUUGUAAAGUCCUUUCAGAUGGGAAGAUAAUGACGGUACCAUCAGAAGAAGCCCCGGCUAACUCCGUG